GAGAACCCGAAGAUGAGGGCGAAGAGG
rnacentral:piRNA from 1 species